rnacentral:rRNA from 1 species
UACGUAGGGACCAAGCGUUGUUCGGAUUUACUGGGCGUAAAGGGCGCGUAGGCGGCGUGGUAAGUCACUUGUGAAAUCUCUGAGCUUAACUCAGAACGGCCAAGUGAUACUGCUGUGCUCGAGUGUGGAAGGGGCAAUCGGAAUUCUUGGUGUAGCGGUGAAAUGCUUAGAUAUCGUCAAGAACACCGAUAGUGUAGACAGCUAACUAAGCUCAAACUGACGCUGAGGCACGAAAGUGUGGGGAUCAAACAGG